GUGGGAACGUACCCUUUGGUUCGGAAUAACGCUGGGAAACUAGCGCUAAUACCGGAUACGCCCUUUUUGGGGAAGGCUUGCUGCCGAAGGAUCGGCCCGCGUCUGAUUAGCUAGUUGGUGGGGUAAUGGCCUACCAAGGCGACGAUCAGUAGCUGGUCUGAGAGAUGAUCAGCCACACUGGGACUAAGACCGGCCCAGUCUCCACGGGAGGCAGCAGUGGGGAUAUUGGACAUGGGCGCAGCCUGAUCCACCAUGCCCGUGAUGAGAAGGCCUAGGUUGUAAGCUCUUUUUCCGGACAAAAUGACGUACGGAAAAAAACCCCCGGCUAAUUCUGCCGCAGCCCGGUAUACAAGGGGCUAGCUUGCUG
rnacentral:rRNA from 1 species